rnacentral:misc_RNA from 1 species
CCUCCAAUUAGCAUACUUUGACUCAUACAAAUCAAAAUUGCUCCCAUACUUCACCUUUCUCAUCAAUUCUCUGGUAUAGUACUUCUCCUUUACCUCCCCUGGCAUCUCGUGGAACCCACGUGCCGCCGCCAACAUCUCUUCCAGAACCCGAUUGUUCAUCCCAUGGUUCACCACCUGGAAGAACCCCACCUCCUCCGCGGCCCGCAGGAUUCCAUCCACCGCUUCAGUUUGCCUGCUCUCCAUGUUUUCAAGGUCGACAACAGGAACAAUAAAGUGGGUGUUGGUGUGCUCGUCUGAAAUGUAGUUGCCGGCAGCGACUUCCUCGGGUGGGCGGAUGAAAAUUCGUGGGACUUUAGUGAUGCCGGCAUCGACAAGACCUUUGACGCCAGAUUUUGACUCGUCGAAUGAUUUGAGUUCUUGAUAGCGGUCGUAGGUGAUGGAAGUUCCGGUGAAGGAAUCUCCGGUGAGCAACAUUUUAUUACCACUUUUUUUUUUAUUAUUCGUUAUUGUCAGGAGUUUGAACAGUAGCUUGUU